GAAAAAUAAACUUCAGUGCUCCAUAAAGACCAAUAGAAAGCUAGUUUUUUUCUUUUUCUUUUUCUCUUUCUCCUCACAUUCUUGUCGUCAAAAUUCACAGGCACGUCUCUUUCACCUGGAAUUUUCUUUCACUUUCAACGAGUUUCAAUCAAAAUUUCCUCCUUUUUUUCCCAUUUCUUUUGGUCUUCUUUUUUUGGAUUUUUUUGUAUAAUGUUUUUGAAUUUGGAAUUUUUAUCUGGUGAAGAAAUUAGCUGGAGUUCUGUUGUUUCCAAUUGUAGGGCAUAGGAUAGUUUAUAUCUAUAUAUAUAUAUAUAAUGAAUUUUGUGAGCUGAUUUAGAGGUUGAUUUUGUAAUUUUUGGCAUAUUUAUUUCAAAGUUGUGAUCUUAGGUUCAUUAUUAGGAGGCAAAUGGGUUAUCUGCAUGAGGGACAAAAAUGACAGAUUUUCAACCUUUAAUACAAAAACCUGAAACCCCCAAGUGAUGCCAGAGCUGAAUUCGAAAGGGGUUUGGAAGAAUUAAUGAGGGGGCAUUUAGAUGAUUGUAUGUCAUUUGCAUCAUGUAGUUCUAGUAGAAAUCCUGAUGAUGAGGAUGAUGAGGCUGAUCAACUUGUUAGGAGGAGGGGAAGGUCUGAUAUUGAAGGUGAUGACUUAGCCGAGUCAUCCGCCACAAGAAGGCGGCAAUCUAGGAUUUUGAGUAUGUGGGCUGCUAGGCAGGCUCAGGAAAUGAUAACUACAAUGGAGAGGAGGAAUAGGGAGUCCGAGCUGAUGGCUUUAGCUGGUUUACAUACUGUUUCGAUGCUUGAUUCCUCUUUCUUGAGAGAGUCAGAGUCGCCUACUUCUAGAGGACAAGGUGGGAAUGUUGACAGGCCCAGCACUCAGGCUUCUGCCAUUUUGCAAAUGUGGAGGGAGUUGGAGGAUGAGCAUUUGUUGGAUAGGGCACGGGAGAGGGUGAGGGAAAGGUUGAGGCAGCAAAGGAAUGCUGAUGAUAAUAGGACAAUGUCUAGUAUGACUUUGAAUGAGAGCCGCGGGAGUGAUAAUCAUGGGAGCGUUGGGGAUGUUACUGAGAGUGAGAAUGAGUAUGGAACUUGGACGAACGAUCAAGGUGUGUUGCAGAAUGAUCAUGGUGAUAAUAAUGGGUCUAGUAGGGAGCAGUCUCCUGAUCUUGGUGAAGUUGAGAGGGAGAGGGUGAGACAGAUAGUUCGGGGAUGGAUGGAGAGUGGGAUUAGUGAUCAUUCAUCCAGUGUUACCCAAAGGGCUGGCAACCGUAGAGCUGAAUGGCUUCGUGAAACGGAGCGUGAGAGAGUUAGAAUUGUCCGGGAGUGGGUACAAAUGUCAAGUCAACAGCGAGGAGUUCAUUGGGGACAUAGGGAAGAUCAGGCAGCUAUAAGCGGUGCGCAAGUUGACCGAGUUCCUGAUGGCUCAGUUAAUGAUCAAGAUGAAGGCCAACCAGAGCACAUUCAGAGAGACUUGCUGAGAUUGCGUGGAAGACAAGCAGUAAUUGACUUACUUGUGAGGACUGAAAGAGAAAGACAGAGAGAACUUCAGGGUUUAUUGGAGCACCGUGCUGUAUCAGAUUUUGCUCAUCGUAACCGCAUUCAUUCACUACUCAGAGGUAGGUUCUUGCAUGAAAGACCUGUUGAAGAGGAGAGACCAACUUCAGUGGCAGUGAGUGAAUUAAAUCAAUUAAGACAAUGGCACACUGUAUCUGGUUUGAGGGAAGAGUUCCGGAACAGAUCAGAAGCAAUUGUACGUGGUCAAGCAAACAGCGAUUCAGAACCCAUGACUAGCAAUGUCUUCAAUGAUUCUAGAGAUGAAAUUUCCCAAACAAAUAUGUCACAAGAUGUCCAACGUGAAAACAAUGAGGAUAUGCAACCUAGGAGUUUGGGAAGUCACUUUGGACGGUUGCCUAAUCAAACAGGAAAUACUGUUAGCAACAUGCUAGCCGUUGAGAGCAUAAGUUGGCAAGAAAAUGCUACCCAAGGUGGGAAUUGGCGGGAACCAACAACCAAUAAUGAGAGAGAAAGCUGGCAACAGUCAAGAUAUGCUCAGUUUAAUGAAUGGAGAGAGGGAAAUGCAGAAGAAAUGGAUACAAAUUGGCAAGAAAGUUCAUAUAGUUAUUAUCGCCAAGAUAUUCCUGGAAAUGUAAAUGGAGAAGAAAGUGAUUCUCAGGAAGCCCAAAGAGUUUGGCAUGAGGAUGGCUCUCGCGAAGCUGUUGAAAAUUGGUCAGAAGGGCCUUCUGAUCCUCCAAGGGCACGUCGUGCAACCCCAGUUGGAAGGUUCAGUAGAUUUCAUCCACCUGUAGAUGAUAAUGUGUACAGUAUGGAACUUAGAGAACUUCUGAGAAGGAGGAGUGUCUCUAAUCUUCUUCGAAGUGGUUUCCGGGAAAGUCUAGACCAAUUAAUACAAUCUUAUGUGGAAAGACAAGGCCGUUCACCCAUUGAUUGGGAUCUGCACAGAAACUUGCCAACUCCAGCCUCACCAGAGCGUUAUCAAGAGCAGCAGAGGGAUGAAACAAAUGAUAAUCAGAAUGAUGCUAGUAACAGGCCUUCACUUGUGCUACCUUCUCCUCCAGUGCCACCCCCACAGCCAUUGUGGCAGCAGACUUUACAUCACACUAGCUGGUCUAGGCACAGCAUGCAUAGAUCGGACCUUGAAUGGGAGAUGAUUAAUGAUCUAAGAGCUGAUAUGGUGAGACUCCAGCAGGGGAUGAACCACAUGCAGAAGAUGUUGGAAGCCUGCAUGGAUAUGCAGUUGGAGUUGCAGCGAUCCGUCAGGCAGGAAGUCCCUGCAGCUUUGAAUCGUUCAGCUGGUGAAAAAGGUUCAAGUGCAGAAGCAUCAAAUGAUGGGUCAAAUUGGGGUCAUGUGAGGAAAGGGACUUGUUGUGUUUGUUGUGAUAGCCAUAUUGAUUCGCUUUUGUACAGAUGUGGACACAUGUGCACUUGUUUAAAAUGUGCAAAUGAGUUGGUUCGUGGUGGGGGAAAAUGCCCGUUAUGUCGAGCACCUAUUGUCGAGGUAAUCCGUGCAUACUCAAUAUUGUAAAGAGAUGAAAGAACAAAAUAGGAGUUGAACAGUAUUGUCCUGCAAUAGGUCUAAAAGAGCGAAUGUGAGAUAAAAAUGCCACAAUUUGUAGAAUGAUCAGUUGUUGGGGGGAACGCUACACAGUGCAUAAUCCGUGUAUAGUUGGAACAACAAUUGGCAUCUUUGAUUCUUCAUUCAUGCAUAAAUAAAAUGUCGUAGAUAGAAAUUUUUUUCU